rnacentral:rRNA from 1 species
GUAAACGAUGAACACUAGGUGUCGGGGGAAUCGACCCCUUCGGUGUCGUAGCUAACGCGUUAAGUGUUCCGCCUGGGGAGUACGCACGCAAGUGUGAAACUCAAAGGAAUUGACGGGGGCCCGCACAAGCGGUGGAGUAUGUGGUUUAAUUCGAUGCAACGCGAAGAACCUUACCAGGGUUUGACAUCCUGCGAACCUCUUAGAAAUUUGAGGGUGCCUUCGGGAAUGCAGUGACAGGUGGUGCAUGGCUGUCGUCAGCUCGUGUCGUGAGAUGUUGGGUUAAGUCCCGCAACGAGCGCAACCCACGUUUUUAGUUGCCAGCAUUUAGUUGGGCACUCUAGAAAGACCGCCGGUGAUAAACCGGAGGAAGGUGUGGAUGACGUCAAGUCAUCAUGCCCCUUACACCCUGGGCUACACACGUACUACAAUGCUACGGACAAAGGGCAGCAAACUCGCGAGAGCUAGCAAAUCCCAUAAACCGUGGCUCAGUUCAGAUCGUAGGCUGCAACUCGCCUACGUGAAGUAGGAAUCGCUAGUAAUCGCAGGUCAGCAUACUGCGGUGAAUACGUUCCCGGGCCUU